AUUGAACGCUGGCGGCAGGCCUAACACAUGCAAGUCGAGCGGAUGAAGGGAGCUUGCUCCUGGAUUCAGCGGCGGACGGGUGAGUAAUGCCUAGGAAUCUGCCUGGUGGUGGGGGAUAACGUCCGGAAACGGGCGCUAAUACCGCAUACGUCCUGAGGGAGAAAGUGGGGGAUCUUCGGACCUCACGCUAUCAGAUGAGCCUAGGUCGGAUUAGCUAGUUGGUGGGGUAAAGGCCUACCAAGGCGACGAUCCGUAACUGGUCUGAGAGGAUGAUCAGUCACACUGGAACUGAGACACGGUCCAGACUCCUACGGGAGGCAGCAGUGGGGAAUAUUGGACAAUGGGCGAAAGCCUGAUCCAGUCAUGCCGCGUGUGUGAAGAAGGUCUUCGGAUUGUAAAGCACUUUAAGUUGGGAGGAAGGGCAGUAAGUUAAUACCUUGCUGUUUUGACGUUACCAACAGAAUAAGCACCGGCUAACUUCGUG
rnacentral:rRNA from 1 species